rnacentral:lncRNA from 1 species
UCAGGGGCGGAGGGACCAUAGGACCACAGUAGUCCUAGGCCCAUCCUGCUUUUGUUUAUAACUAAAAAUUAGUACUACUUAUUAUUUUAUUAUUUUCAGUUAAAUCAUUCCUAUUUCCUAAACAAACUAUCCGGUCCUCUUUAAAUAUUUUAAGAAUAUCCGGCCCUUUUUAAAUAACCCUAAAGCCUACCUAUAACCUAUUCCAACUUCCAACACUUCAUCUUCCAUUCAUUUUUCCAAUACUAAAAAUUAGUAUUUUAUUAUUCUCUAAUUCUAGCCGACUGUUGCUCUGCUGCUAGUUUGAAAAAAAUAGUCAGAACACUGCUUCUCUCAGUCUGAUCCCUCCCGUGGUACACAAGCCAUACGCUGCUUCUCUCAUCUAUAGCAUGUCACAGUCUUCAACCAGUCUAUCAAUCUAUCAGUCUUCAAUUUCCAUGAUCCUCAAGAGUAUGAACUUCGAAUCUCCAUAGUUGUCAUUUUCAAUAUUUUUUUUUACAAUUUGCUAAUUCAUAUAUGUUGUCAUCUACAAUUGUAAAUUAAUUUAACAAAUAAUAUUUUUUUUUGCAGAUUAAAGAAUUCAAUUAUUCCAUCAUUCCAUAAAAAAGACAUUGAAGUUUAGUUAAUUGGUCAAUAACCCAAAGUAUGUAUUUUACUCUCAAUUCCUGUUACAAUUUUUUGUUUAUAAAUUAUGAUUAAAUUGAUGUCUUGCAAUUUCUCUUAACUAUUGCCUAAUUUGUUUUAGUUUGUAAAAUUAGCAUAUAUGUUCAUAUUUCUUUUAAUUUAAAGUUAGUGAGUCUAUGUUUUUUUACUUUUCAAUUAUGGAAAGAUAUUUCAAAAGAAAAACACAACCUGAGAUAUUAGAACCGUCUCCAAAGAGUCCAAAGAACAAUAAAAGUAGUUCAAAACAAACUUGUGUGGAUUCUAUGGAAAUUAACUCGGAAACUCUCCAAUAUGAUCCUUUUCAUAUAUAUACUAUGAUGUUUUGGUUACUUUUCAUAUAUAUACUAUGAUGUUUUGGUUACUUUUCAUAUAUAUACUAUGAUGUUUUGGUUAACACUUUUGUAACUACUAUCGAUUUAAUUUUUUUUUAAUAUUUGUGAGAGGCCCCUCCUAACCCGAAAUCCUGGCUCCGCCA